GUGUGCUUGCUAUGCAACGACGGCUCGUCCCUCGACGUUUCGGCGUCGAGAUGCACGACUUCCAGGUGAUUAGGGACGUCAUAUCGAGAAGUUUCGCGAGUGCCCUCCCGCAGGCGGUCGGGUCCUGGCGUAUCGCGAUGCUCUCCGUGAUUCCCCCCGUGAGAUCAGACAGCCCGUCCAAGAGGGUGCCAUACUUGAGCGCCUCGUACGAGCCGUGGAGCCUGGAAACCAGUCGAAACGAAAAUGAGUUUCACUGCGAUCUGGGCCAUUCAGUUAAGUGGAUUCAAUUAUACGCACAGAAGACCGCGUUGUUAGCGUACAUGAGUGUCAAUGAACAGAGAUGUCGCGAUCAUCCACGUCCAACCGUAACAGAAAAAUAGAGAAGCAAGAGAAAAGAAACAGCUACAAGGGAAGACGAGCGGAACGCGAGGAGCGGAUCCGUUUUCCAAUUAUGCCUGGUAUGGCCUUCCGAAUCGGUGUUCCGCGAUUCACCGUCGCGGCAAAAGGAUCUGCGGAAUGACUGUUCCGAAGCGGAUUGAAAAUGGGACGAGACAACUGGGUAAUGAUGCUCGCCCGUUUCAUUGAUUGAGCUGUGUUCAACGGAAAUGAAUGUUUGACGUGGAUAGAUGGACGGCUAGGCGGUUGGGCUCGGAUACAAGGUGUCGGAUUAUUUGAGAUUUAUUUGUUUGUUAACACUAGAACUACCAAGCACCGAAAUUGACUUUUUGAAUUUCCUCUAUAGAAACUACAAAAGUACAGCUAUUGAAGCUUUAAUUGAUUUACAAUUCAGUUUGGGUAUUGCCAAAUCAAUUUCUUUAAUCACUUCUCAGAGAAGAAUCUGUUAUGUUCUUAAUAAUCGCAAAAAGAAGAAAUCAGGAAUCGGUCAUUUUGACCCGUUCGGUUAGUUCUAGUGUUAACACGCUGCCACGAAAAACACCAGCGUUUCAUGUUUCUCUUAUUAUUUCCGUAGCAAAGCUAAAGAGGAAGAAUUAUUCAUUAUUCGGUACCACAAUUCUUGCGUUACAUUAUUAUCAAGUUAUUCACGCUGCAGAACAUUUUUUUUCAUCAGUUAUCUUACAAGUCAUAAUUAUUUCCUCGUUAAUAUCUUAGUAAAUCUUGUUUGUAACCGAUUUUAAUGAAACUAUGAAAUAUUGCGAGAAAUGCAUAUUUUGAACAACUUUUUCCUUUGAACAAAAUGUCGUUGACAUUUAGUUUCUGAGGUAAUCGCGAAAAACUUUUGUUACCACUAAAUUGAAUUCUGUUUAUGUGAGCGCGUUUGUGAGAUGACACAAGCAUAGCCGCGCGGUGUUGCGGCCGCUGCUAAGGUAUAAUCAUUUCCUCGUUAUUUGGAAGCUCCGGUCACUGGUGACCGCUGUGGCAGUCAAUGUGUUAACACCUACAUAACCAACUAAAUGGGGAGAUCUCCCAGUUUUCCAUCGGCAAUGCAUUCCCAUUUAUUUUGUUUACUUUCCUAUUAUUCAGUAAACUUCAAACUGGAGAUUUUAAUGAAUUCUAUUGAUUGAGUUCAAUUAAAGUUAAUGAAAAAGGUUAUAGUUACAUAGUUUCUUCUCAGGCGGUUGCCUAAGUGUUAAGGUAAAGAUGUUGAUAACUAAACCAGUUAAGACUAUAAGGUAUAUUGUGUAAUACUU